UCCCACGCGUGAUAAUUUUCUGUUUAAUAUUAGUAUCGAUAAAAUUAAUAUAUCUCUGCCAAUAGUUAAAUUCAUUUUCAAUCAUUUCAUUGCAUUUGUUGGGCAAAUCAGCCUUAUUUUUACUAGACUAUAUUACGCACUCGUCUUUGGUAUUAACGGUGUAGUCAACGCCUAAAGUCAAGCUCGUCAAAUAUGUUUGGUGAAAAGUCUACGGUUUGUGCGGAAAAUAACUUUUCAUCAUUGGAUUUGUUGAACUUUGUCCAACUACAGUUGGCUGAGUACCAGAAACAUUGACAACAGAUCACUUGAAUGUGAUCUGGAUGAGUUCAAACCUCUUGUUCGGAAGUUAACAUCAGAAAGCUGCGCCUCCGUAGCUGUCAAGCUUCA